AAUGAUAAAGUAUUUUUAACUUUUCUUACUUCUUCCUACUCCUUUUCGAUCAUGUUAAGAUUAUUGUAGUACAAAAAUAUGAGUCCUUUGCAUUCCUUGUUCACGUGAGUUUAUACUUCUAUCAUGUUCAAAUUAAACAAAUAAAAAA